rnacentral:rRNA from 1 species
AACGAACGCUGGCGGCAGGCUUAACACAUGCAAGUCGAACGCCCCUUUCGGGGGGAGUGGCAGACGGGUGAGUAACGCGUGGGAACGUGCCCUUCAGUUCGGAAUAACCCAGGGAAACUUGGGCUAAUACCGGAUACGUGCGAGAGCAGAAAGAUUUAUCGCUGAAGGAUCGGCCCGCGUCUGAUUAGCUAGUUGGUGAGGUAAUGGCUCACCAAGGCGACGAUCAGUAGCUGGUCUGAGAGGAUGAUCAGCCACACUGGGACUGUGACACGGCCCAGACUCCUACGGGAGGCAGCAGUGGGGAAUAUUGGACAAUGGGCGCAAGCCUGAUCCAGCCAUGCCGCGUGAGUGAUGAAGGCCUUAGGGUUGUAAAGCUCUUUCGUCCGGGACGAUAAUGAAGGUACCGGAAGAAGAAGCCCCGGCUAACUUCGUGCCAGCCGCCGCCGUAAGAC